UACGAAGGGGGCUAGCGUUGCUCGGAAUCACUGGGCGUAAAGCGCACGUAGGCGGCUUCUUAAGUCAGGGGUGAAAUCCUGGGGCUCAACCCCGGAACUGCCUUUGAUACUGAGGAGCUAGAGUUCGGGAGAGGUAUGCGGAACUCCGAGUGGAGAGGUGAAAUUCGUAGAUAUUCGGAAGAACACCAGUGGCGUAGGCGGCGCACUGGCCCGGUACUGACGCUGAGGCGCGAAAGCGUGGGGAGCAAACAGG
rnacentral:rRNA from 1 species